GUGCUUGAUGAAGAAGACCUAGUGGAGUAUAUCAUCACCGGGCUAGAUGAAGAUUUUAGGGACUUGGUUGCUGCUCUCGUUGCUAGGGUGGAACCGAUCUCUCUGGGGGAGCUGUACUCACAACUUCUCAAUUUUGAGA
rnacentral:snoRNA from 1 species